AUUCUGUUCAUGACCAUACUUAGGACAAUAGUGAAGGGCCCUAUUCUGCCAAUUUUUAGCUGCCGGUAUAACGUCCUAUGCAGUUAAAGUUAAGAACAACCAGAGGGCAUGUCUGAACUUGAAAACUCCUUUGGAUUAAGGUGAAACAAAUUCAAGGCACAACGGCUCUCCCUGAAUAGCGAUAUUCAGAAGACCAAGCCCAGGUGCCAAGACCAACCCUGUGUGUUUGCAGUCCUGCAGAGGACUCUUAAAGGCACAACAUGGCCCAAUCCCCCUCCUUAUUUAUUUAUUUAUUUAUUUUAAAAGAAAAAGUCAUUACAAUAAUUGUGGGAUAAAGAGCAGAUUUACCACAGGACAAAUAACCCCUGUCUCACCUCUUGGUGAGCUUUCAGCUCUGUAAAACCCAAGAACCUAACAAACCCCCAAAGCCAGGGACCCGUGGUGGAGUGGAUGGACUUUGGGGUUUGAGCACCGAGCGGGAGUGAUUGGUCACCUCUUCCCACUCCAGCAGGGAGCAGACCAAAGCAAAGAUCCUGCAGUUCCCUGGUCACAGAGGCUUGAGUGUAAUUGUGCUCAACCAGAGCAGCCAGACUGGUUUAGAAAAUGACUGCAUGAAUGAGCACAAUGAGGCUGUAAGAGGAGACUCCCUACUCGGGUCCAAAGAGGAUCGCGGAAGAAUGGGGAGGGAGACCGAGUGAGUAAUGGAGAGCGAUCUGAAGCUUGCACUCUGCUGCUCUCCUCUAUUUGAGUCAAAGUGAAGCUGCUGCCUCUCUUGUACCCACCGCCUGCUGCUUGGGCUGCAUGAGCCUUAAGGAGGAACACGAAAGCUGGACUGCCUGGAGGUGGGAGCACCUUCCAGACUUGAUUCAGAUUAAGAAAUAAACGAUGACUUGGAAACAAAACAUGGGGCUUAUCAUGACAGGAGUGAAAAGGUAUAAAGACCUAAACUGUUUAUUUGUAGGAGAACAUAAUGGUCCUUGUCAUCGACGUGAUGUUGAAAGGAAUGACUUCCAUCUAGAGGAUGCAGGAAAAACAGGAGAUAAAUUUCAGUAGCAGUAACAGCUUAAUGGCAAAAGAUUGAAAAAGAGGAGGAAUAUGGAAAUUAGACAGCGAUGACGUUCUAAGAAUUUAAAUGUGGCAUUUGGCAGCAGUGGCAUUGUUCAUGUAAAAACAAACAAAGCUAAACAACAACAAAUGUAUUAUCCUUUUAAAAUAGACUUUAUUUAAUAACAAUAAAAAUAAAGAAAUCCUAAUGUUCAGAAACUAAUAGCAAACGUUCUUAGAAAAAAUACAAAAAAAUACAUUCUUACGUUCUGAUUUUUUUCAACAUACAAAGAAUCUAAAACAGUGGUGGUGGUCUGCAAUUUAUGGUGCUCACAUCUUACUUUAAGGCAAUGAAAUGAUCACUGACACGGAUUCAUCUGUACAAGGUAAAAGUCUGGCCUACAUACAAAGUGUAAAAAGAGCAAAACUGAUUCAUAGGUUAACAGUUAUGUUAAUUUUCCCUUCAAACAAAUCUUUAAACAUUAUUAAAGUGACCCAGUCUUGAGAAAAAAAAAGUUACAAAUACUACUAUGUUGGCAGCUGCUCCCACCCCCUGAAGCACUUCAUUCCUAUGCCUCGGCAGAGCUCGCUGUGUACGGGCAGUGCAUGUUUCAGCAGUUGGAGGUAGAGGCUAUGUAUGUCGCACAGCUUUAGAGGUUUGGGCACUCUGUGCUGGGAGUAACACUGCACAUGGCAAAAUGAAGUGAGUUCCUGAUAUAAUGCUUUCUGAAUGUUAUGGCUACGUUAGCAAGUAGCGUGGCACUUGGGAAGCAAAACACAGAGCAAAAAGCUGACACUGACAUCAGUUGAAGCUGAUGCCCACCUAGUACUCAGGGCUACUUUUCAGACUAGCUCUGGUUUUAGAGCUGUGGACUAAAAUGCCUGCCAGAGAUUGUGAUAUGCAUAUCUAAGACCUGCCUUCUGGUUUGGUUUAAGACAGAAGGAAUCCAGAUCAUGAGCUCCAAGACCAGAUGUGAACCACCACCCAGAAAGUGGGGACAAGUGGAAGACGAGUUUCAAAGCUCACUCCUGAGCUGAACAAAAUGGUAACGUAGAAACCCAUCCAAGGCUCUCUAGGUCACAGCACUGAGCCUGCUGGAGUGAAAGAAGUGUUUGGACUAUGCUGUCAGAAAUAUGGUCUGAUUUUGGGUGGUGGCCAGGGGUUGGAUUUGAUGAUCCUUGAGAGUCCCUUCCAACUCAGGAUAUUCUGUCAUUCUGUAAUUCUAGGUGGUUAGGACUUUAUUACAAGAGGAGCCCAAGCAGCCAUAGGUAUACAUACUUUCCUGGUGUAGCAUGCUUUUUUUUUUUUUUUUUUUUUUCCAAUAAUUAUUUUAAAGGCUGGAAUAUAAACUCUCAGUGAUGUUGAGGACCAACACCCCUUCAGGAAAUGCGUGAUGUAAGAAGCGGCAAUUGAGAGAGGCCUCAGGGACAAGAAAGGACCAGAAAACCAGGCACUCCUGAAAAUCAGUCUUAAACUUUGCCACUGUUCAGUAUGACCCCAGGCAAGGCACUUAAUUCUUUUGUCUCCCUGUCUCUUUAGCUGUCAAAGCAGGCAAUCAAAGUUUCCUUAUGAUCAAACAAUUAUCUGAAAUGGCCCAUUUCACGACAUUUUAUUUUUUAUUACUUUUUUUCCUUUAUCACAGGAUACCUCCUUGUUUGUCCUUGCCCUCCAACACUGCACCUGAGAGGGUGUUUAAGGCACUUUGAAACUGCAAUCCCCGAUGGGGAGGUGAAAAUGGCAUCUCUCAGCUGAACACUACUGUUGAAAUGCCAGCCCAAAGCCAAAAUCAGAAGCUCCAAGCUUGCACAGAGCUGACUGGCCUUUCUAAACAAACUCAUAUAGCACAGGAAAACCCUGAGUAUUUCAUUAUACUGCCCAGUGACAGGACAAGAGGCAAGAGGCACCUGCUGA